AGAGUUUGAUCCUGGCUCAGGACGAACGCUGGCGGCGUGCUUAACACAUGCAAGUCGAACGAUGAACACCGGAGCUUGCUCUGGUGGGAUUAGUGGCGAACGGGUGAGUAACACGUGAGCAAUCUGCCCCCGACUCUGGGAUAACCCCGAGAAAUCGGAGCUAAUACCGGAUACGACACCUCCUGGCAUCAGGUGGGUGUGGAAAGAAUUUCGGUUGGGGAUGAGCUCGCGGCCUAUCAGCUUGUUGGUGAGGUAAUGGCUCACCAAGGCGACGACGGGUAGCCGGCCUGAGAGGGUGACCGGCCACACUGGGACUGAGACACGGCCCAGACUCCUACGGGAGGCAGCAGUGGGGAAUAUUGCACAAUGGGCGCAAGCCUGAUGCAGCAACGCCGCGUGGGGGACGACGGCCUUCGGGUUGUAAACCUCUUUUGGCAGGGAAGAAGCGAAAGUGACGGUACCUGCAGAAAAAGCACCGGCUAACUACGUGCCAGCAGCCGCGGUAAUACGUAGGGUGCAAGCGUUGUCCGGAAUUAUUGGGCGUAAAGAGCUCGUAGGCGGUGUGUCACGUCUGCUGUGAAAAUCCAAGGCUCAACCUUGGACUUGCAGUGGGUACGGGCACACUCGAGUGCGGUAGGGGAGAUUGGAAUUCCUGGUGUAGCGGUGGAAUGCGCAGAUAUCAGGAGGAACACCGAUGGCGAAGGCAGAUCUCUGGGCCGUAACUGACGCUGAGGAGCGAAAGCGUGGGGAGCGAACAGGAUUAGAUACCCUGGUAGUCCACGCCGUAAACGGUGGGAACUAGAUGUGGGGUCCGUUCCA
rnacentral:rRNA from 1 species